ensembl:snRNA U2 U2 spliceosomal RNA
AUCCUUUUUCUGAUCCAGACAGAAAAAAAAAAAAAAAAAUCUGUUCUUAUCAGUUUAAUAUCUGAUACGUCCCCUACCCGGGGACCAUAUAUUAAAUAGAUUUUUGGAGCAGGGAGAUGGAAUAGGGGCUUGCUCCGUCCACUCCACGCAUCGACCCGGUAUUGCAGUACCUCCGGGAGCGGUGCACCCCCU